rnacentral:rRNA from 1 species
GGGAUUGCCUCAGUAACGGCGAGUGAAGCGGCAACAGCUCAAAUUUGAAAUCUGGCUCUUUUAGGGUCCGAGUUGUAAUUUGUAGAAGAUGCUUUGGGUGUGGCUCCGGUCUAAGUUCCUUGGAACAGGACGUCAUAGAGGGUGAGAAUCCCGUAUGUGACUGGCUGCCUCCGCCCGUGUAAAGCUCUUUCGACGAGUCGAGUUGUUUGGGAAUGCAGCUCAAAAUGGGUGGUAUAUUUCAUCUAAAGCUAAAUAUUGGCCAGAGACCGAUAGCGCACAAGUAGAGUGAUCGAAAGAUGAAAAGCACUUUGGAAAGAGAGUUAAACAGUACGUGAAAUUGUUGAAAGGGAAGCGCUUGCAAUCAGACUUGCGUGCGGUUGAUCAUCCGGUGUUCUCACCGGUGCACUCUGCCGCGCUCAGGCCAGCAUCGGUUUCGGUGGUUGGAUAAAGGCCUUGGGAACGUAGCUCCUCUCGGGGAGUGUUAUAGCCCUCGGUGCAAUGCAGCCUACCGGGACCGAGGACCGCGCUUCGGCUAGGAUGCUGGCGUAAUGGUUGUAAGCGACCCGUCUUGAAACACGGACCAAGGAGUCUAACAUCUAUGCGAGUGUUUGGGUGUCAAACCCAUACGCGUAAUGAAAGUGAACGGAGGUGAGAACCCUUUAGGGUGCAUCAUCGACCGAUCCUGAUGUCUUCGGAUGGAUUUGAGUAAGAGCAUAGCUGUUGGGACCCGAAAGAUGGUGAACUAUGCGUGAAUAGGGUGAAGCCAGAGGAAACUCUGGUGGAGGCUCGCAGCGGUUCUGACGUGCAAAUCGAUCGUCAAAUUUGCGCAUAGGGGCGAAAGACUAAUCGAACCAUCUA